CAGAAGUGAUAACAGCCCUCAUACAUACACUUCACUUUUAUUUCCAAAUCUCCUUUAACCCUAGCUAGAAGCCGUCGCACCCAGCGGCUGUUCAUCACUGGCGAUUGCGAUGACCGUCGCACUACCCAGCUCGCCUUCAUCUAACCCUCACACCCAGCCCUCUUUCUGUCGCACCCUAGUUGUUUCUCAACGGUCUCUCGCACCAUCAACGCUGCUCCGUCUACGCACCCAGGAAUCGGCGCUGCUCCGUCCACGCACCGUCGUCAGAUUCGGAACCUCCAUCGGCGAGGAGAAGAGGAAGAGGAAAACCUUAGAGGAGAAGCCCUCCGCCGAUUCCGCAAUCGAAGCUUCGGAGAAGAAGAGGAACUACCACGAGUCAAUUGAACAAGACUCACACCCUCUGUGUGAGGUGCGGCCACCGUAGCUUUCACCUCCAGAAGAGUCGCUGCUCUGCCUGCGGUUCCCCCACUGCACGCAAGAUGAAUGUUGAGAAGAUUGGGGAAGGAACCUACGGCGUCGUUUACAAGGCUCACGACCGCGUUACCAAUGAGACCAUCACUCUGAAGAAGAUUCGCCUUGAGCAGGAGGAUGAAGGCGUUCCUAGCACUGCAAUUCGCGAGAUUUCUCUCCUCAAGGAAAUGCAGCACAGGAAUAUUGUUAGGUAUUCUUU